rnacentral:rRNA from 1 species
AAAAAGUGCGUCGUAGUCCGGAUUGGAGUCUGCAACUCGACUCCAUGAAGUCGGAAUCGCUAGUAAUCGUGGAUCAGAAUGCCACGGUGAAUACGUUCCCGGGCCUUGUACACACCGCCCGUCACACCAUGGGAGUGGGGCUGCAAAAGAAGUAGGUAGUUUAACCUUCGGGGGGACGCUUACCACUUUGUGGUUCAUGACUGGGGUGAAGUCGUAACAAGGUAGCGCUAGGGGAACCUGGCGCUGGAUCACCUCCUUAAACGAUGAU